GGGCGGUUAGCUCAGUUGGAUAGAGCGCCUGCUCGACAUGCAGGAGGCCGUAGGUUCAAGUCCUAUACCGCCCA
rnacentral:tRNA from 1 species